rnacentral:rRNA from 1 species
GACGAACGCUGGCGGCGUGCUUAACACAUGCAAGUCGAACGGUGACCCUCGGAGCUUGCUUCGGGGUGAACAGUGGCGAACGGGUGAGUAACACGUGAGUAACCUGCCCCUGACUCUGGAAUAAGCGCUCGAAACGGCGUCUAAUACCGGAUAUGACACGAACGGGCAUUCGUACCGUGUGGAAAGCUUUUCGGUCUGGGAUGGACUCUCGGGCUAUCAGCUUGUUGGUGAGGUAAUGGCUCACCAAGGCGAUGACGGGUAGCCGGCCUGAGAGGGCGACCGGCAACACUGGGACUGAGACACGGCCCAGACUCCUACGGGGGGCAGCAGUGGGGAAUAUUGCACAAUGGGCGAAAGCCUGAUGCAGCGACGCCGCGUGAGGGAUGACGGCCUUCGGGUUGUAAACCUCUUUCAGCAGGGAAGAAGCGAAAGUGACGGUACCUGCAGAAGAAGCACCGGCUAACUACGUGCCAGCCGCCGCGGUAAGAC